CUCUAUGCAGGCACUUUGUAGGAAUAUUGAACAAGACCUCUGGCCAAAUGGAAGUGUUUGAUGCGGAACUGUUGAACAUGCAGCCACUGUUUUCAGAUGAAUCAGUUGAGACUGAACAGACACUAGACAGCCAGACCAAAACUUUCAGAGAAAAGAUGGAUUCUUGUAUUGAAGCCUUUGGUACCACCAAACAGAAGUGAGCGCUGAACUCCAGAAGAAUGAACAGGGUUGGCAAUGAAUCUUUGAAUCUUGCAGUAGCUAAAGCUGCAGAGAAUAUCACUGAUACAAAGAUUGUGACUGCUCUGGUCUGUGAUGCCAUCCAUGAUGACUUGCAAGAUGACUCCCUCUACCUUCCUCCCUGCCAUGCCGAUGCAGCCAAGCCUGAAGAUGUGUAUAAAUUUGAAGAUCUUCUUUCUCCUGUGGAGUAUGAAGCUCUUCAGAGCCCAUCUGAAGCUUUCAGGAAUGUCACAUCAGAAGAGAUACUGAAGAUGAUUGAAGAGAACAGCCACUGCUCCUUUGUCAUAGAAGCACUGAAGUCUUUGCCAUCAAACGAGGAGAGCUGAGAUCGGCAGGCCUGAUGCAUAUGGUUUCUGGAUACCCUCAUCAAAUUUCGAACUCAGAGAGUGAUUAAGCGGAAAAGUGCCCUGGGACCUGGAGUGCCACACAUCAACACCAAGCUGCUGAAGCACUUCCCCUGCCUGACUUACAACAAUGGCAGUUUGCAUAACUUAAUUUUGGAUUCUAUGAAGGCGAAGAUUACUGCAUAUGUGAUCAUACUUGCCUUGCACAUAAGCAGCUUCCAGAUUGACCUGACGACGUUACAGAGGGACUUAAAGCUCAGUGAGAGAAGGAUGAUGGAGAUAGUAAGAGCCAUGAGGCUGACGAUCUCUAAAAGAAGGGUGUCUCUGGCUGCUGGUGGGGAAGAAGAUCACAAACUGGGCACUCUGUCCAUCCCACUGCCUCCAGCACAGACCUCAGACCGCCAGUCAAAGCGGAGGAAAAUUACCUAGAUGUGUGCUUUUCAGACAGCAUGUGACCCUAUCACAGCUACUGGUUCUAUUCAUUUUCA